ACAACAACAUUCGGACCGUCGGUCUACCGAGCAAACAUCACCCGCUCGGUGGAAGAUCUUCCCUUUGUCGUAUAUC
rnacentral:pre_miRNA from 1 species